rnacentral:rRNA from 1 species
UAUUUUAAAGAGAGUUUGAUCCUGGCUCAGGACGAACGCUGGCGGCGUGCCUAAUACAUGCAAGUCGAACGAACGGAGGAAGAGCUUGCUCUUCCAAAGUUAGUGGCGGACGGGUGAGUAACACGUGGGCAACCUGCCUGUAAGUUGGGGAUAACUCCGGGAAACCGGGGCUAAUACCGAAUGAUAGAAUGUGGCGCAUGCCACGCUUUUGAAAGAUGGUUUCGGCUAUCGCUUACAGAUGGGCCCGCGGUGCAUUAGCUAGUUGGUAGGGUAAUGGCCUACCAAGGCAACGAUGCAUAGCCGACCUGAGAGGGUG